rnacentral:tmRNA from 1 species
GGACUUUAACUCUGCCCCGAUCAAGCCUAUAUCUGGGUGGUCGGCUUGACCGACUAUGACGAUAAACGGCCUGUGUAAUAAACCAUUCGGACCCGGGGGCGGUACCCGGCGCCUCCACCAAAAUCCAUGACGAAACGGUUCAUGGCUUUUGGCGGGGGCGAAACAGGAUCGACGAGGGCGUAAAGACUGAGUUUUCGUUCGGCAUGGUACCCACCGUUAUCGGGCCAUCUCAAUAGUUGCAAACGACAACUAUGCGGAAGCACGUCUCGCUGCGUAAUGCGGUGCGACAGCUUCAAAUAAACUCCUGACUGUUCGCACGGUCAGGCGGGGUUCGGAGGCACCUGGCAACAGAAGCCUCCACU